UGGGUCCAUUUUGUCUAUCCAUGGGAUACGA
rnacentral:piRNA from 1 species